rnacentral:rRNA from 1 species
AUAAUUAAUAUUUAAAAAAAUUAAAUAUAAAUUUAAUUUAUUUAAAGCUAAUAAAAAUAUGAGUUUAAAAUAAAUAUAAUUUGUGUGAGUAUAGUUUAUAAUAAUAUAACUUAUAAAUUUUAAUUUAUUAAUAAAAAUUGAGUGUUUUUAGCAUUAAGACAUAUUUAAUAAAUUUAUAAAAAAAUAAGUUUAGUAAAAUUAAUUUUUUUAAAAAAAAAUUAAAAAAUUAGUAAAAUUAAAAGUUUAAUUAAAAUAAUUAAAAAAGUGAUGUAAUUUAAAUGUAAUAAUUAAUUUAAUUAUAAGAUAAAUUUAAUAUUUUUACCUUUUGUAUCAGGGUUAAUUUAAAAUUUUUAAUUAAUAUUAAUUUUCUCGAAAUAAAAAAAUUUAAAAUUUUAAUUUUAUUAAUAUUUAAAUAUUAAAAUAAAAUAAAAUUUUAGAAAUGAUAUGUUAAUCAAUUUUUGUAAUAUCUAGUUAUUUAAUAAAUAAAUUUAAUUUAAAUAUAAUUUAAAUUUAAAUUAAUUUAAAAUUUAAAUUUGUAAAAUUAUAUAAAUAAUUUAGGGGAUAAACUUUAAAUUAAUAUUAAAAUAAAAAAAAAUUAAUAAUUUAUAAAGUAUAAAUAAUAUUAUUUUUUUUAAUAAAAAUUUAAUAAUUUAAUAAAUUUAAUAAAAUAAUUUAAAAAAAAUUUAAAAAAUUAUUAAAUUAUUUAAUUAAAUUUUUAUAUUUAAUAAAUAAUGAUUAAAUAAGUAAUUUAAUAUUUUAAAAAUAUAAUUUUUAAUUAAAAAUAAAUUUUAUGAAUUAGGCAAAAUUUUAUUCACCUGUUUAACAAAAACAUGUCUUUUUGAAAUUAUAAUUUUAAGUCAAGUCUGCUCCAUGAAUUUUAAAUAGCUGCAGUAUAAAUAACUGUACAAAGGUAGCAUAAUAAUUAGCCUUUUUAUUGAAGGCUUGAAUGAAGGAUUAAAUGAGAUAAAAACUGUAUUAAAAUUAAUAAAUAAAUUUUUUUUUAAAUAAAAAAAUUUAAAUGUUAUUUAAAGACGAGAAGACCCUAAAGAAUUUUUAAUAAAUUUUAUAUAUAAAAAAAUGUAAAUUUUGUUUUUAGUUGGGGAAAUUUUAAAAUUAAAUAAAUUUUUAAUUAAAUUAAACAAUAAUAUUUGAAUAAUUUAAAGUUUUUUUAAAAAAUAAAUUUAAAUUACCUUAGGGAUAACAGCAUAAUUUUUUUAAAAAGUUCAAAUUUAUAAAAAAGCUUAUGACCUCGAUGUUGAAUUAAGAUAAAUUAUUUAGCAAAAAAAAUAAAAUUUUAGUCUGUUCGACUAUUAAAUUCUUACAUGAUUUGAGUUAAGAUCGGUGUAAGCCAGAUCGGAUUCUAUCUUAAAUUAAAUUAAAUAUUUUUGUACGAAAGGACUUUAUGUUUAAAAUAAUUUUUUUUAAAUUUAAAUUAAUAAUAAAUAUUAAAUAAUAAGAUUUUAAUA